GUUGCACUUUGUAAAUACAGCUGUUUCUCAAACCACGCCUCUUUUGGGGAGAUAUAUAAUAUUCAUAGAUAUGUUAAUUUGUUAACGUACUGGUUCCCAUUUAUGAUUUCUGUGUUUCAUCUCAUAGAGACAUCACUUGGGAAUGUAACCAGUAUAGAAAAACAUGGUAGCGCCAAAAUUUUAAUUCUUAGGAGGUCCAAAUAUGGAGGUAAGGGUAGUAUAGAAUUUUAGUACAAGUUUAAACUCUUAGAAGUUCAGGGCAUAUACAUGUUGAAAAUAUGCCGCACAGCCCUAUAUUUUGACCUUUGAAUAAAAUAGUAGUGCAUAUAAACUUUCCGUUCUGGGAUAUUAUUUUUCACGAAACUUCAUAGUAAAAGUGUCACAGUUUCAGCCGCAAAGGGAGUUCCUAUGGGAAAUUGCAUUGUCUAUAUUUACAGAAUUGCAACCUAUAUAGGGUUAAAAAAUAGAACAUACAGAUUUUCACAAAAUCUGGUUUAUCUCAGAGAUUUUAAAGAAUUUAACUGAAAUAUGAAGUUUUAUAAAUAUUUCAUGAAGCUUGAGAAAAUCCUGAGCCUUAACUAUGAUGACUCAGCAUAAAUUCACAGUUUACAGUAUGCAUGGUUUACUUAAAGCCCUGAAUUCAAAAUAAAUUCAUAAUAUAUGCCUAUUUGUAAUUUAAAUUGUUUAGAAGUGCUUAUAUUUACUCUUCGCAGUCAUUGCAACUCAUUGAUCCUUCUUAAAUAUUUUUGUUGGGGUGUUUUUGUCCUGUCGAUAACCCAAAAGUAAGCCGUAACACCUAAAUGUGCUUUUUUGUGACCGGGACAUUAAAAAGUACAAGCUAGAAUUACAAAAGACCUCAAUAAAACUUACAACAGUGUGUUCUAUCCUAAAUAUAUACUAAAUAUUCCACAUUGCUAGAAACAGGGAAAAUAUUUAGGAAAUGUGAGGCCCCAGGGACAAAAAACAGAAAAAAAUGCCUACCCCUGGGUCAUAAAACAGAUAAUUUAACUUGUAAAUGCUAUGAUUUUAUUAUUUUCAAGGUCUUUUGUAAAGAAAACAAUAACUGUGCUGGGAAGUUAUGCAAAAAUAAGACGUAAGCAUCAUUUCUAUCAAACUUUUAGUGAAUUUAUGCACCAGACUGAUAUCUUCUUAAAUACAACUUUUGCAAAUUUGGCUUUGUUUAGACAAUUCUAGUUCAUAUAUUAACUAACUUAUGUUAGAUAUAUGGUUAGGGAUGAUACUGUUGAGACAAGAAUUCUUAACUGACCAUUUGAGACAGAAAUUAUGAACUUUCAUUGACAAAUAGGCAUUCAGUAAGAUGUGGACUGGAGACACAGGCAGGAUUGGAUACUUUGUAUAAUCUUGAAAGUUGGAAUGAUUAACUACUAAACAAUACACUUAUAGUAUAACAACAUGCUUUCAAUUUGUUAUCAGAAUAGUUUCAAACAGGUUUAAGACAGUUCAUGUCAGAAAACAUGCACAUAGGGUAAGCUAGCAAUAAUUAAAGUCUUGUUUUCAAAUUCUUUAAAAUAUUGAAACAGGGGUAGGGGUAUAAAAUGUACUGUAAAAGGAAACUUAGAGUAUAUGCAGUGAUUUCUUUAAGGCUAUAAUUCUGAUAAAUAAGUAUUGUUGUGAGAAAAAGUGUUUUUAGAGAGUUUUCUAUUUGAAUAAAUGUUUGUAUAGGUUGCACUUUGUAAAUACAACUGUUUCUCAAACCACGCCUCUUUUGGGGAGAUAUAUAAUAUUCAUAGAUAUGUUAAUUUGUUAACGUACUGGUUCCCAUUUAUGAUUUCUGUGUUUCAUCUCAUAGAGACAUCACUUGGGAAUGUAACCAGUAUAGAAAAACAUGGUAGCGCCAAAAUUUUAAUUCUUAGGAGGUCCAAAUAUGGAGGUAAGGGUAGUAUAGAAUUUUAGUACAAGUUUAAACUCUUAGAAGUUCAGGGCAUAUACAUGUUGAAAAUAUGCCGCACAGCCCUAUAUUUUGACCUUUGAAUAAAAUAGUAGUGCAUAUAAACUUUCCGUUCUGGGAUAUUAUUUUUCACGAAACUUCAUAGUAAAAGUGUCACAGUUUCAGCCGCAAAGGGAGUUCCUAUGGGAAAUUGCAUUGUCUAUAUUUACAGAAUUGCAACCUAUAUAGGGUUAAAAAAUAGAACAUACAGAUUUUCACAAAAUCUGGUUUAUCUCAGAGAUUUUAAAGAAUUUAACUGAAAUAUGAAGUUUUAUAAAUAUUUCAUGAAGCUUGAGAAAAUCCUGAACCUUAACUAUGAUGACUCAGCAUAAAUUCACAGUUUACAGUAUGCAUGGUUUACUUAAAGCCCUGAAUUCAAAAUAAAUUCAUAAUAUAUGCCUAUUUGUAAUUUAAAUUGUUUAGAAGUGCUUAUAUUUACUCUUCGCAGUCAUUGCAACUCAUUGAUCCUUCUUAAAUAUUUUUGUUGGGGUGUUUUUGUCCUGUCGAUAACCCAAAAGUAAGCCGUAACACCUAAAUGUGCUUUUUUGUGACCGGGACAUUAAAAAGUACAAGCUAGAAUUACAAAAGACCUCAAUAAAACUUACAACAGUGUGUUCUAUCCUAAAUAUAUACUAAAUAUUCCACAUUGCUAGAAACAGGGAAAAUAUUUAGGAAAUGUGAGGCCCCAGGGACAAAAAACAGAAAAAAAUGCCUACCCCUGGGUCAUAAAACAGAUAAUUUAACUUGUAAAUGCUAUGAUUUUAUUAUUUUCAAGGUCUUUUGUAAAGAAAACAAUAACUGUGCUGGGAAGUUAUGCAAAAAUAAGACGUAAGCAUCAUUUCUAUCAAACUUUUAGUGAAUUUAUGCACCAGACUGAUAUCUUCUUAAAUACAACUUUUGCAAAUUUGGCUUUGUUUAGACAAUUCUAGUUCAUAUAUUAACUAACUUAUGUUAGAUAUAUGGUUAGGGAUGAUACUGUUGAGACAAGAAUUCUUAACUGACCAUUUGAGACAGAAAUUAUGAACUUUCAUUGACAAAUAGGCAUUCAGUAAGAUGUGGACUGGAGACACAGGCAGGAUUGGAUACUUUGUAUAAUCUUGAAAGUUGGAAUGAUUAACUACUAAACAAUACACUUAUAGUAUAACAACAUGCUUUCAAUUUGUUAUCAGAAUAGUUUCAAACAGGUUUAAGACAGUUCAUGUCAGAAAACAUGCACAUAGGGUAAGCUAGCAAUAAUUAAAGUCUUGUUUUCAAAUUCUUUAAAAUAUUGAAACAGGGGUAGGGGUAUAAAAUGUACUGUAAAAGGAAACUUAGAGUAUAUGCAGUGAUUUCUUUAAGGCUAUAAUUCUGAUAAAUAAGUAUUGUUGUGAGAAAAAGUGUUUUUAGAGAGUUUUCUAUUUGAAUAAAUGUUUGUAUAGGUUGCACUUUGUAAAUACAACUGUUUCUCAAACCACGCCUCUUUUGGGGAGAUAUAUAAUAUUCAUAGAUAUGUUAAUUUGUUAACGUACUGGUUCCCAUUUAUGAUUUCUGUGUUUCAUCUCAUAGAGACAUCACUUGGGAAUGUAACCAGUAUAGAAAAACAUGGUAGCGCCAAAAUUUUAAUUCUUAGGAGGUCCAAAUAUGGAGGUAAGGGUAGUAUAGAAUUUUAGUACAAGUUUAAACUCUUAGAAGUUCAGGGCAUAUACAUGUUGAAAAUAUGCCGCACAGCCCUAUAUUUUGACCUUUGAAUAAAAUAGUAGUGCAUAUAAACUUUCCGUUCUGGGAUAUUAUUUUUCACGAAACUUCAUAGUAAAAGUGUCACAGUUUCAGCCGCAAAGGGAGUUCCUAUGGGAAAUUGCAUUGUCUAUAUUUACAGAAUUGCAACCUAUAUAGGGUUAAAAAAUAGAACAUACAGAUUUUCACAAAAUCUGGUUUAUCUCAGAGAUUUUAAAGAAUUUAACUGAAAUAUGAAGUUUUAUAAAUAUUUCAUGAAGCUUGAGAAAAUCCUGAGCCUUAACUAUGAUGACUCAGCAUAAAUUCACAGUUUACAGUAUGCAUGGUUUACUUAAAGCCCUGAAUUCAAAAUAAAUUCAUAAUAUAUGCCUAUUUGUAAUUUAAAUUGUUUAGAAGUGCUUAUAUUUACUCUUCGCAGUCAUUGCAACUCAUUGAUCCUUCUUAAAUAUUUUUGUUGGGGUGUUUUUGUCCUGUCGAUAACCCAAAAGUAAGCCGUAACACCUAAAUGUGCUUUUUUGUGACCGGGACAUUAAAAAGUACAAGCUAGAAUUACAAAAGACCUCAAUAAAACUUACAACAGUGUGUUCUAUCCUAAAUAUAUACUAAAUAUUCCACAUUGCUAGAAACAGGGAAAAUAUUUAGGAAAUGUGAGGCCCCAGGGACAAAAAACAGAAAAAAAUGCCUACCCCUGAGUCAUAAAACAGAUAAUUUAACUUGUAAAUGCUAUGAUUUUAUUAUUUUCAAGGUCUUUUGUAAAGAAAACAAUAACUGUGCUGGGAAGUUAUGCAAAAAUAAGACGUAAGCAUCAUUUCUAUCAAACUUUUAGUGAAUUUAUGCACCAGACUGAUAUCUUCUUAAAUACAACUUUUGCAAAUUUGGCUUUGUUUAGACAAUUCUAGUUCAUAUAUUAACUAACUUAUGUUAGAUAUAUGGUUAGGGAUGAUACUGUUGAGACAAGAAUUCUUAACUGACCAUUUGAGACAGAAAUUAUGAACUUUCAUUGACAAAUAGGCAUUCAGUAAGAUGUGGACUGGAGACACAGGCAGGAUUGGAUACUUUGUAUAAUCUUGAAAGUUGGAAUGAUUAACUACUAAACAAUACACUUAUAGUAUAACAACAUGCUUUCAAUUUGUUAUCAGAAUAGUUUCAAACAGGUUUAAGACAGUUCAUGUCAGAAAACAUGCACAUAGGGUAAGCUGGCAAUAAUUAAAGUCUUGUUUUCAAAUUCUUUAAAAUAUUGAAACAGGGGUAGGGGUAUAAAAUGUACUGUAAAAGGAAACUUAGAGUAUAUGCAGUGAUUUCUUUAAGGCUAUAAUUCUGAUAAAUAAGUAUUGUUGUGAGAAAAAGUGUUUUUAGAGAGUUUUCUAUUUGAAUAAAUGUUUGUAUAGGUUGCACUUUGUAAAUACAACUGUUUCUCAAACCACGCCUCUUUUGGGGAGAUAUAUAAUAUUCAUAGAUAUGUUAAUUUGUUAACGUACUGGUUCCCAUUUAUGAUUUCUGUGUUUCAUCUCAUAGAGACAUCACUUGGGAAUGUAACCAGUAUAGAAAAACAUGGUAGCGCCAAAAUUUUAAUUCUUAGGAGGUCCAAAUAUGGAGGUAAGGGUAGUAUAGAAUUUUAGUACAAGUUUAAACUCUUAGAAGUUCAGGGCAUAUACAUGUUGAAAAUAUGCCGCACAGCCCUAUAUUUUGACCUUUGAAUAAAAUAGUAGUGCAUAUAAACUUUCCGUUCUGGGAUAUUAUUUUUCACGAAACUUCAUAGUAAAGGUGUCACAGUUUCAGCCGCAAAGGGAGUUCCUAUGGGAAAUUGCAUUGUCUAUAUUUACAGAAUUGCAA